rnacentral:rRNA from 1 species
CCUACGGGUGGCAGCAGUGGGGGAUAUUGCACAAUGGGGGAAACCCUGAUGCAGCGACGCCGCGUGGGUGAAGAAGUAUUUCGGUAUGUAAAGCCCUAUCAGCAGGGAAGAAAGAAGACGGUACCUGACUAAGAAGCCCCGGCUAACUACGUGCCAGCAGCCGCGGUAAUACGUAGGGGGCGAGCGUUAUCCGGAUUCACUGGGUGUAAAGGGAGCGUAGACGGCCGUGCAAGCCAGGAGUGAAAGCCCGGGGCCCAACCCCGGGACUGCUGUUGGAACUGUGCGGCUGGAGUGCGGGAGGGGCAGGCGGAAUUCCUGGUGUAGCGGUGAAAUGCGUAGAUAUCAGGAGGAACACCGGCGGCGAAGGCGGCCUGCUGGACCGCGACUGACGUUGAGGCUCGAAAGCGUGGGUAGCGAACAGGAUUAGAUACCCCUGUAGUC